UACAGAGGGGGCGAGCGUUGUUCGGAAUUACUGGGCGUAAAGGGCGCGUAGGCGGCCCGCUAAGUCGAACGUGAAAUCCCCAGGCUCAACCUGGGAACUGCGUCUGAUACUGGAUGGCUAGAGGUUGGGAGAGGGAUGCGGAAUUCCAGGUGUAGCGGUGAAAUGCGUAGAUAUCUGGAGGAACACCGGUGGCGAAGGCGGCAUCCUGGACCAAUUCUGACGCUGAGGAGCGAAAGCCAGGGGAGCAAACGGG
rnacentral:rRNA from 1 species